AAAAUCAAAAGAUGAACUGAAUAGAUUUUUGGGCAUGGCACAUUAUUACUCUUAGUUCAUUUGUACCUCCUGUUAAAAAAGAAUGUAAAGUUUAAUUGGAAUACAGAACAAGAACACACCUUUCAAGCCCUGACGACUGAUGUAUCUGAUACAGGGAUGGGAGCUGUUCUCGAGCAAAAGGGUAAAUGGACUCUAGCAACCUCUAGCUUUUUGGUCUCUGGCUCUUUCAACGACACAACAGAAAUAUUUUACGUUUGAUGGGGAAUUAUUAAGUGUUAAGGAAAGCAUCAAACAUUUUCUAUGGGCAUUGGAUGACAAGUUGUUAAAGUUUUCACAGACCUUUAGUCACUGCAAUUGACAUUCGCAAUCCCUCUCAGACACCAAGACAGUUACAUACUUUUGCAUUCAUAGAGAAUUCAGUUGUGAUAUCGAACACGUUUCUGGAAAAUUAAAUCAUACUGCAGGCAUUCUUUCUAGAAGUAUAAUUACAUCACAAUAGGCCCAACCUUCAUUGAAGAUAUAAUUGAGUUUCAAAAGAAACAAGAUCCAAAUUUACUUAAGUUUAAAAUUAAACCUUUUUUAAAAUACAUUGCAGGAACCCUACUUGUUGGUUUUGGCAAUGCUGACGCAUUCCGUGUAGCUGUCUCAUCUCCAGAAUUGCGUCAAAGAAUCGUGCAUCCGGGAUUCAAAGAAAAGUUAAGGAGGAUUUCCCUUUUUUAUGCUUUAUGCCAGACGUCAGAAACUUCACUAGAAAGUGUUUAGCGUGUCAGAAAACUAAACCUUUCAGGCCAUCAAAACCAACUUCGUCUUUCGAUCCUCCAUCUGAAAGACUUUCCUUUACUCACGUAGACAUAAUCGGUCCAUAACCACUAGUUCAGGGACAGCGCUAUGGCCUAACUAUUAUGGAUCGUUUCACAAGGUGGCUAGAAGUGAUACCUAUUCCAGAUAUAACCUCCAAGACAAUAGUCAAUAAUUUUUUGAGUGGUUGGAUUUCGAGGUUUGGAGUUCCACAAACUAUUGUGUCUGACCGAGGAACACAGUUCACAAGUUCAUUAUGGUUGGGUGUUUGCAGGAUACUUGAAAUUACAAGCAAGAACACAACCUCGUAUCAUCCAGAGUCCAACGGACUCAUAGAACAUAUCCACAGGUCUUUUAAUACCAGACUUGUAGCACGAAUGCUGGAAGAAAAAGAAGACUGGUCAAUGCACUACCUGCAGUUUUAUGGGGAUUGGGGAACUCAGUACCAAUAAAUCCGUGUUCUAAAUAUUCAAUUUUUCAAUUACUCACAGGCCGCUCAGGAUCCAUGGCCUUUAAUUUCUUUAAUUCGUCCACCUUUAUUUCUGGCAACCUCGACGUCGAAAGUUUCUUUAAAGCAAUGGAGAAAAUAACAAACGUUCCUCCGAUACACUUUAAAAAAGGACACAUUAACAAACAAUUGAAAAGAACGAAUUCGUUUUUGUUAAAAAUAAACCUAUGAAAGAGUAUCUUUCUCCAACUUUUAUGGGCCCGUUUAAGGUGAUUGAGAGGCACGAUCGUUAGUAUAAAUUGGACUUUGGAUCAAGAACUUACAAUGUAUCGAUGGAUAGACUUCAUUUGACCUGCAGUUGGAGUUCCAAGUACCCUUCCAGCGUCUCCGAGUAUAAGAUGCACAAGAUCUAUACUGGAGAAUUAUCUAUUUGUUUAUUUAUCAAUGUUUUUAUGAUGCCUUUUAUUGUGUAUUACUAACUAGACGAUCUCUUUACUCGCUCUGUCAUCUAGGGGGAGUAGUGUAGGAGUUCGACUUGUUUAGAUGAUAUUAAAUAUUACAUAGUA
rnacentral:lncRNA from 1 species